rnacentral:rRNA from 1 species
GACGAACGCUGGCGGCGUGCUUAACACAUGCAAGUCGAACGAUGAAGAAGAGAAACGCGAACACCGGUUCCAAUUUCACUUCGGAUUCGUGGCAGACGGGUGAGUAACGCGUGAGAAACCUACCUCUUACAAAAGGAUAGCCCCGGGAAACCGUGAUUAAUACCAUAUGACACAUUCAUAAGGCUUCUUAAGACUGUUAAAGCUACGGCGGUAAGAGAUGGGCUCGCGUCCCAUUUGCAAGUUGGUGAGGUAACGGCCCACCAAGGCGACGAUGGGUAACCGGCCUGAGAGGGUGAACGGUCACAUUGGAACUGAGACGCGGUCCAAACUCCUACGGGAGGCAGCAGUGGGGAAUAUAGCACAAUGGAGGGAAGUCUGAUGCAGCGACGCCGCGUGAGCGAUGAAGGAAGUCGUUUCGUAAAGCUCUGUUCUAUGGGAAGAAAAUGACGGUACCAUAGGAGAAAGCCCCGGCUAAAUACGUG